rnacentral:rRNA from 1 species
CCCUUAGAUGUUCUGGGCUGCACGCGCGCUACACUGAUGCGUUCAACGAGUGUACAACCUUGCCCGAUAGGGUUGGGUAACCUUUCGAACACGCAUCGUGAUGGGGAUUGAGUAUUGCAAUUAUUACUCAUCAACGAGGAAUUCCUAGUAAUGAUGAAUCAUCAGUUCAUCGUGAUUACGUCCCUGCCCUUUGUACACACCGCCCGUCGCUCCUACCGAUUGAGCAAUCCGGUGAAUAUUUCGGACCUAGAAUUGUCGGGGCAACUCGUUCAGUUUUGGGAAAGUCAAGUUAACCUUAUUGCUUAGAGGAAGGAGAAGUCGUAACA